UACGUAGGUGGCAAGCGUUACUCGGAAUCACUAGGCGUAAAGCGCGGGUAGGCGGUUGGGUAAGUCUCUUGUGAAAGCUCCCGGCUUAACUGGGAGAGGUCAAGGGAAACUACCUGGCUAGAGUGCGGUAGAGGAAGCUGGAAUUCCUGGUGUAGCGGUGAAAUGCGUAGAUAUCAGGAGGAACACCGGUGGCGAAGGCGGGACUCUGGGCCGAUACUGACGCUGAGGAGCGAAAGCGUGGGGAGCAAACAGG
rnacentral:rRNA from 1 species